GGCGAUGGGGGGCGGAGAGCCGGGGGCGGGGAGCCGGGGCCGGUUGUCCGCUCCCUGCCGCGCUCGCUCGGGCCACUCGCGCUCCCGCGCCGCGCCCCGGCCGGCUUCAUGUGAAGUGGCGGUCCUCCGCCCCCUCCCUCCCCUUCCUUCCCUCCCUCCCUCCCUGUCCCCUCCUCCUCCUCCACCUCCUCCUCCUCCUCCGGCGGCGCCCGCUCUCGCUCCCCCGGGGCCCCCAGCCCGGCCGGGGCGCUGACAGCAGGGGCGGGGGUCCCCCGCCGCCCGCCGCCGCCCGUGUGUCCCGCAGGCUCCCCGGCUUAAGGGCAAGCGGAGCCCACCCGUCCCCGGGACGGCCAUGAGCCGACCCCUGGCGGCGUCCGCGGAGGCGGAGGAGGAACUGGAGUGGCAAGUGGCGAGUCGCCGGAGGAAGGCCUGGGCCAAGUGCCGCAGCUCCUGGCAGGCGUCGGAGACGGAGGACCUGUCCACAGAAGCGACGACGCAGGACGAGGACGAGGACGACGAGGAAGACCUCUCCGGCGCCAAGUUGCCGGCGGCCGCAGGCAGAGGGAACGUGCCCAACGAGAAGAUCGCGAUAUGGCUCAAGGACUGCCGUACGCCUUUGGGAGCCUCGCUGGAUGAGCAGAGCAGCAGUACACUGAAGGGUGUACUUGUGAGAAAUGGAGGAAGUUUUGAAGAUGAUUUGUCAUUGGGAGCUGAAGCCAACCACCUUCAUGAAAGUGAUGCUCAAAUGGAAAAUUGCAAUAAUAUCUUGGCCAAAGAGAGAAGACUACAGUUUCAUCAGAAGGGGAGAAGUAUGAAUUCCACUGGAUCUGGAAAAAGCAGUGGGACAGUGUCAAGUGUUUCAGAAUUGUUGGAACUUUAUGAGGAAGAUCCCGAAGAAAUUCUUUACAAUCUUGGUUUUGGACGGGACGAACCAGAUAUUGCUUCUAAAAUUCCUUCCAGAUUUUUUAAUUCAUCAUCAUUUGCCAGAGGGAUAGACAUUAAAGUAUUUUUGAGUGCUCAAAUGCAGCGGAUGGAAGUAGAGAACCCAAACUACGCUUUAACAAGCCGUUUUCGUCAAAUUGAAGUGCUUACUACUGUGGCCAAUGCGUUUUCCUCUUUAUAUUCCCAAGUCUCUGGAACUCCCCUGCAGAGAAUUGGAAGUAUGUCUUCCAUGACAUCUAACAAAGAGGCAGAAUCUCCUCCUCCUUUGACUCGAAGUAACACUGCAAAUCGAUUAAUGAAAACACUAUCAAAACUGAAUUUGUGUGUUGAUAAAACAGAGAAAGGGGAAAGUAGUAGUCUUUCCCCAGCAAUUGAAAAGGGAAAAAUUCUAAAUGUUUCUGUGAUCGAAGAAAGUGGCAAUAAAAUAGACCAGAAGUCUCAAAAAAUCAUAAAGAAGAAGGACUCAUCUCCUCUGCUGGCAACAGUGAAAGAAGAAGUCUCAGGUGGUUCCACAGCUGCUACAGAGAGUGCUGACACUGACAGAUUUUCUGAUGAAGCAAACAGCAAUUUCCACCAAGAAACUGAACAAAAUAAAGAAACUCAGUGUCUUGAGAGUAAUCUGGGUGAGGUAUCUGGCAUUAUCGAAUCUGAUUUAGAUAACAAUCUCAACACAGCUAGCCAUGGUGUGCUAGAAAAUAGCAGUGAUCUGAGAAAUGUCCCUCUGUCCACACCUGAAAAAGAGCCCUGUGCACUGCUCCCAAUCCCUUCCAUAAGGAAUCUACUGACCCAGCAGCAGAAGGACUCGUUUGAAAUGGAGGAGGUCCAAAGCACAGAAGGAGAAGCUCCUCACAUUCCAGCCACUUACCAGCUAGGCCUCACCAAGUCAAAAAAAGAUCAACUGUUACGGACUGCAAGUCAGCAUUCUGAUAGCAGUGGUUUUGCUGAAGAUUCUGCAGACUGCCUCUCACUGAAUCAUCUUCAGGUUCAUGAGUCUUUGCAAGCCAUGGGGAGUAGUGCUGAUAGCUGCGACAGUGAGACAACUGUCACGUCACUUGGUGAAGAACUUGUUACACCAACAGCACAAGAUCAACCUUAUUUUAAUGAGUCAGAGGAGGAGUCUCACAUCCCUCUUCAGAAAGGAAGAGUGAAGACCACAGCAGUAGCUGACCAAAGACAAUCAGAUAGCCAGGAUUUGGCUCAGCUUGAGACUGUUGAGGAUACGGGAAAGAAACAGCCCUCUUGCAAUCCAGAUCACAUCCCUGAAACUGAGGGGGAUUUGCCUGCAGAGCAGACAGUGGAGCCAUGGAAGGAAGCCAGUGCUGAAAGUGAUGUGGAUAAAAGCAGUGAAUGUGAAUUUGCCCAGUACACCACACAUCAUAUUCUGAAAUCACUGGCGUCUAUUGAAGCUGCCACAUCCAGUGACAUGAGUUCAGAGAACAAGACGAGACCUCUCUCCUCUGUGGAAAGAGUCAAUACAGCUUUGCAAAGAGCUCAAAUGAAGGUUUGCAGUCUGUCUAAUCAAAGGGUAGGGCGUAGUCUGAUAAAAUCAAAGGAUCUGUUAAAACAGAAGUACUUAUUUGCAAAAGCUGGCUAUCCUCUGAGGCGGUCUCAGUCUUUACCGACCACCUUACUGAGCCCAGUUAGGGUUGUGUCCUCUGUUAAUGUCCGGUUAUCUCCAGGAAAAGAGACAAGAUGCAGUCCACCUUCCUUCACCUAUAAAUAUACACCUGAAGAUGAGCAGGACUUGGAAACAGGAGCUGUUGAGCACGAGAGUCAGUCUUUAGUUAAAUCCACUAUUUUCAUCUCUCCAUCAUGUACAAAGAAAGAAGAAUCAUCGCAUAGUGAGAUGAACCGGCUGGAGGAAUGCCAUCCUAGAAGGACUGCUGCUGGCUUACACUUAUCUCCAGCACCCAUCUCUCAGUCUACCUGCUCCCUUCACUCUGUCCACUCAGAGUGGCAGGAAAGGUCCCUGUGUGAGCACAUGAGAACUCUAAGCACUCAUAGUGUUCCCAACAUCUCAGGUGCCACCUGUAGUGCCUUCACUUCCCCUUUCGGGUGUCCUUACGCACACAGACAUGCCACCUACCCUUACCGAACAUGCUCUGUGAAUCCUCCUUCUGCUAUUGAAAUGCAGCUGCGAAGAGUGUUACAUGAUAUUAGGAACUCACUGCAGAAUCUUUCCCAGUAUCCUAUGAUGAGAGGACCUGAUUUUGCUGCUGCUCCAUACAGUACUCCAAAAUCAUCUGUUCUACCUCUUUAUGAAAAUACUUUGCAGGAGCUCCAAGUGAUGAGGCGGAGCCUGAAUUUGUUUAGAACACAAAUGAUGGAUUUAGAAUUGGCAAUGCUCCGUCAGCAAUCAAUGGUUUAUCAUCACAUGACUGAGGAGGAAAGGUAUGAGGUUGAGCAGCUGCAAAGUUUGAGAAAUUCAGUCCGAAUGGAACUUCAGGAGCUGGAGCUGCAGCUGGAGGAGCGCCUGCUGGGUCUGGACGAGCAGCUGCGUGUGGUGCGCCUGGCUUCCCCCUUUCGCUCCUCAGCACUUGUGGGAAUGUGUGGCAGUAGAAGUGCCGACAACUUGUCAUGUCCUUCUCCAUUGAAUGUAAUGGAACCAGUCACUGAGCUGAUCAGAGAACAGUCAUACCUGAAGUCUGAAUUGGACAUGGGGCUUGGAGAAAUGGGAUUUGAAAUUCCUCCUGGAGAAAGCUCAGAAUCUGUUUUCUCCCAAGCAACAUCAGAGUCAUCCUCCGUGUGUUCUGGUCCUUCUCAUGCUAACAGAAGAACUGCAGCACCUCCCAGUGACUCAGUAGGCAGACCUAAAACUCAGUUAGUGGCAAGAAAGAAAGUAUUCCGAGCGUCAGUGGCCAUAACACCCACUGCGCCUUCUAGAACAGGCUCUGUGCAGACUCCUCCAGAUCUAGAAAGUUCAGAGGAAGUUGGAGCAGCUGAUGAAGCCUCAGAAGUUGUUGGAAUUAAGUCUGAAGUAGAAGGGCAGGGACCACUCCCAUCAAUGCCAGCUGCUGAGGAAAUGCAUAAAAAUGUUGAGCAAGAUGAGUUGCAGCAAGUUAUACGAGAGCUGUCAAGAAAAUUCAAUUCUGUCAUCUCAGUAAAUUGUGAAUCCUUAUCAUGAACAAAGCCACCAUUCAGAAAAGCAGGAUUUAAUUUUGUGUUGAGCAGUUUUGCAGAUUAAAGACUCUAUUGUUGGAGAAAUAAGACGAGAAAUUGUAAGUGGACUUUUGGCAGCAGUAUCUUCCAGUAAAGCAUCGAAUUCUAAACAAGAUAGCCAUUAAGUGGAAUGACAGCAUGGACCCUGUUAGCCGUCUUGGAGCUGUCAAUGAUGUACACUGUGGAGAAAUAACUUGGGCUUCAGAAGAUACUUGCUGCUGAGCAGGGCUGCUCUAGACAACAUACCAUGUUUAUUUUCUCUACAUAUUCUUUAAAAGCAUACAUAGACGCUUAGGCACUUUGCUAAUGUUCCUUUCAUAAACUCUCAAAAGUAGUUCAAAAAGCCUAAUAUUUAUUUGUAUGUCAUCAUUUUCCCAGUUGAUCCCGUAGGUAGAAUUAAUUAUGAAACUUGAAGACUUCCAGACUUAACACACUUAUAUAUAACAUAUUUCUUCAGACUAGCUUCUUAAAACACUGACCUCUAUGAGGUAUGUACUGUGCAAUAACUGAUUCAUUUUUUGAGAGCUUGAAGCAACCAAUGAUUUUUUUCCCUCCACUGCUGUUAGUCUUUGUCACUUCCAAGAAGAAAAACUGUUCUGUUGUAAAAAUUACUCUGAAUUCUUGAGGAGGUUACUAAUAGCAGUAGGAUAGAAUGAUAUGAGGGUUACCUGUAACUACUUACGUUCUUACACUGUAAGCCUUGUUGCUUUAUCCAAUACUAAUGUAAUUUUAUUAUAGCUUACAAAGUAUUUUCCUUCUGGAAAAAUGUGCCUUAUAUUAAACACUAUGUACUUUUUGCAUUGUCCAGACUUCUUUAUUAUAAGAUGUUUCUUCUUGUGUCCUUUAGAUUAAA